rnacentral:rRNA from 1 species
AAAACGACUCUCGGCAACGGAUAUCUUGGCUCUCGCAUCGAUGAAGAACGUAGCGAAAUGCGAUACUUGGUGUGAAUUGCAGAAUCCCGUGAACCAUCGAGUCUUUGAACGCAAGUUGCGCCCGAAGCCGUCAGGCYGAGGGCACGUCUGCCUGGGCGUCACGC